GUCACACCGAAUGGUUGCUCACAACAGGGACUGGAUUUACUUCAAGUAGCUAAAGAAAACCCUAUACAUGAAAAUGGUUGUUUUGGCUAACUUACAAGAACUCCAACGAGCUAACAAACUCAAGAACAUGGAUUUUCAACGAGGUACGAUUCCACUAUGGCUAAAGUGCAGCACCGGACUAAUAAUCAACGCAACGGGCAGAGCGGGUCUUACGCUUGGUGCCACAUUGGAGCACUGCUCGUGUCACAGCGUUGAAUGUCGCAGCCGCAGUGAAACAGUUGCCGUGUGUGCGGCAAACAUAUAACCAGGGUGGGGUAAGAAGCGAUGUACAUCAGUCUUAGAGGUCCUUGGCAACACUAACGUGAAAGCGGAAGGCAUCUACCUGAGCGGGUCGUACGACGUGGAGGGAGGUUCCCAGAUCUACCUACAGAUGACCUGCAAACGGGGUAGAAUCAACGGGGUGGGGGAGGGGCACUUCAGUACGCUGUCUGCACUCUGGAUCAUGCCAUAAACUGUCAUGUUGUUGUUGUUGCUAUAUCAAACUAAACAUCAACAGACCGGUUGCCCUAAAAACGUGUCCAACAGCACGGCAGAAACUUACACAACUCUAGCAGUACCAGCAGCCUUCUUGGACAAAGCGCUACAUGCUCAAGCGCCACCCCGGCCAUGGUGGAAACGCUUAGUGAACUGUAGCUGAACUUUACUCCUCAGUGACACUAUUACUAUUACUGACGAUGACAAUAACAAUGACAAUGAUCUUUAUUGCAUAUUCUUGCCCAACAUGGGCUAAAUGCAUUGUGUUGUAUAGCUUAAGUAUGGGUAUAAAGUGAUUAAACUCUUUUGUCGACAUGAUGUAGCGGAACAUUUCGUCCUUGCCUAAACAUGCAAAGUUAUGGUCUAGGUGUAGUGUAUUGAGACCAAAAAUGCUAACUCAAUCUAUGCAAAUGUCAUAAGAGCACACGACGAACCAGCAGAUGUACAUGUCCCAAUUAAAAUUUGAUUAUGUAAGGCAUCUCCAAAGCUAUCUCACUCACUCGCUCACUCACAGCCCAUGACGAAGACAUGUCUGCAUUCCAAAUACCAUGACAAUCUUUCAACCCAGAUUAUUCCAAAAUGGAUGAUGCAACUACAUAGGCGCGGAAAAAUUCCUGUAGAAUUCCGGACAAGUUUGCCAAUCGGACGUAUCAUAUACUAUUAGGCUAGCCCAUGAGAUGUCUAUAAACAAAUACCCUCAAACCACCACACCCUCACCCAUUUCACGGAGGCUGAGUUCUACGAACACUUGUAUUCUCUUUUGUUUCAUAAAACCUUAGACUGCUACUCUCCACAUGCAAAAUAACAUGGCAAAAUAACAAUUACGUAAGCAACUGAAUGGAUUACAAACAAUCAGAAAUUUCACAUACCAUCUAUCUAGUUUUUCUGAACUUUUCUUAUUACAUGGUUGUCUUAUCACGUUUGAGAUUCAUGCAUUUAGCUUGAAUUUUUAUUUGUGUAGGUAGAAUAAUUCUUGGCUAGAUUUGAAGUGUUCAUCAAGGAGUGGACAAUCUGAAGCAUCUGGGGCGUUACUUUAUGCACUAGUAUAAAUAACUUUGUGGUCAUGAGCUGUAGGUCCAUUUGUUUAUACUGGUAAGGUACGACCUGUUUUCAAGAGCGCUUGUACAAAAAAUAUACAAUAUGUAAUUUCGUAUGUAUUUGUGUUUAGCAGUAUAACUGAAUAAGCUAGAUUGCCAUACAAUUAUGCAUAUGGUAAACAGUUGGCUUUUUUAAAGAUAUAUUUCGAGUUAUGUUUUCGUUAGACGUAGCUCUGCAAUUUGAUAUCCUACUCAAACUUUUUUAUUCUGUUGUAGUAGUAGAAAGAUAGUAUUCUUUGAAUACUUUACCAAAAGUCUGAGCCCUCAUAUAUUGAUCAAAUUAUGUGAGUUUUUUCAGCUUUGAGUAACAUCAAAUGACGAAUGUGUGUUGAUCUUGCAGUCUGGAAUAAAUUUAUCAUGAACAUGCAACUGACAAAAUGCAAUUUGCAAGGAACAAGACACAUGUAUUUUAUGGGUUAUUCGAAUAUCUCGCAGUAAAUUUCCUUCUAAUGUGUUAGAAAAAUAUUUUCGUCAUUGAAUUUACGUUGAGAGUUUCGACUUUUCUUUUCAGGUGAUUCUACCGUCUCAUCUUGCAAACGGCGAAAUAGGGCACAGUAUGAUAUCAGACAACAAACUCAGCCACCAUAUACCAGGUUUGACAUAGACCAUUUGGCUUAGGCAAAUCAAUGUAGGGUUCGAGAUUUUGGCUUUGAAACAGAAAUCUUUGUUUUCUUUAGAUGAAGUGAUCUAAUAGAUAAGGUUUUUGGCACAAAUAAGAUCAAAGUGCUACAUUUGUCUUAUUAUACUCAACAAUAAAAGAUAUACACACAUAUCAUAGACAUUUGCACUACCAAAAAUUAUUCUAAUAUUAUUGAACAUUAAACAUCGAAUUUCCAGCUCUUGAUGCUGCCGUCAGGUAAUUAAUCAAACGAUGAUUAUUCAUUCGAUUUGAUGUUGAUAAUGGAUUGUUUAUCUUUAAUAUAAACGGAGUAAUUUAUAUUUGGUCCAGAUGUCUGUGUUCUUUGAAUGAUGCUAAUAUUGUUAAAAAGUCAACAGACAAUUGUUGUAUUCUUAUACUAACACUUUAACUAAAAACAUAGACAUGUAAAACUGAAAUGCAUCCUGACCUGGUAUUUUCAACAUAGUAUUGUAGUUGUAACUAUACAUAAUACAAGCGUACGAGAUCCAUAAACAUAACAAAGAAGUACAUGUACAAUGUUUUCUACACAUUCCUAUCUGAAGUGUUCAAAAUCAUAAUCUGAUUGUCUGGAAACCGAUAAAGGUUUAUAGAAUUGUUCCUAUCCUUAGUGGGACACUAUAUACUUAAACAGGCUUAGUUAUUAUCUGACAAAAUACUUGUCCAGAUUGCUUGUGACGUCAUGACGUGAACACACAUAUAUUUGAUUUCACUUUCACUUUAUUUUUUUUUACCAGGAGUGAACUUUAGGUCGAGCUUAGACCUACUUUUCAGACAGUCCUGGGCUUAGAAUUUAAAAAAAAAUAAUAGCAAUACUGUAAUGACACAUUUCGA